ACGAUUUCGGUAGUUUUGUUUGGUCCAAACAGGACAGAAGCAUCGCCUUCAAGCCUGUUGCGAGAGAAAUCGAGGACGUUGAAGUCCGUUUUGCCUAGAGAUGCAGGGAUUUUGCCUGAAAGUUGGUUAUGAGACAAGUAAAGAUAAGGUACUUUGCCUUGAAAUGCACCGAAUGAUUCUGGGAUGGAGCCUGUGAGCUUGUUCCUGUCCAAGUGAAGUGUCCCGAGAUUUGGCAAUAGAGCGAGUGAACUCGGUAUUGAUCCAGACAGGCUGUUAAAAGCCAGGUCCAACAACGUGAGACUCUUGAGUUGGCUAAGGAAGUCAGGUAUCGGUCCAGUGAGGCUUAGCCAACUAAGACUCAGAAUUUUGAGGCUUUUGAGCUUGGCAAUGGCGGGUUGUAUGGGGCCUGUAAUGUUUGUUAGCUUGUGGAACUCAAGGGUUUGGAGAUAAGGUAAAUCACCAACAGCAGGGGGGAUUUCGCCGGAAAGUUCACCGGCGAAAAUGGUGAGAGAAAUGAUACGGUGGUUGGUAGAAUCACACUUGACCUGGUACCAUUUGCAGCAAUCGGUGUCCGACUUCCAAGAGGCAAGAAGGUAAGGAUUGCCGAAGUGUUGUUUGAUUUGGAGGAGAACCUUUUUGUCAUGGUGGUUGCAGAGCUCUGAGAAGGAAAGAGAAAAGAGGGUAGAAAUGAGGAGCGAAAGGAAAAGAAUCCGCUUCAUAUUUGGAGAUGGGAAGUAAAGGUAUUGUUGAACUAGGCAAGAAGUGCGUGUUAUUUAUAGGCAAGAGAUUGAUGAUAUAUUUAUUUAUUUAUUAUUUUUCUUUUAUAAAAAAUUGAUUUAUUCCAUCGAUAAACCCAUGGGUCAAGGUACAAAUUACAUCACAAAUGAGAAACUGAUGGCAAAAAAAUAAAAGGCUACCCAAGGUCCAAAUCAGAAAAAGCAACAAACAAAUAGAGUCAACUAAACAACUUUUGGCCCAAAAAACAAGCUCUAAAAAGGAAAACUAAGCCUACGGCCCAAGGCCUACAGAGAAUACAGAAACCCAACCAAAGUAAAAACCCUAGUUUAUUGAGAGAGAAGCUUUUCUGGUUCCACCAUCAUUGAAGACGAGUAGAUGGAAGGAAGGGCAGAAGGCUGUGAAGGGAAAAGAACACUGGAACCCAAUACACCCAAAAUCGGAAGAGCCUAUUUCAAAUAAGGUAGUAGAAGCAAAGCAAACUAUCAAAAACGCUAAAGCCAAAACUUCAUCUAAGCAAUAAAGAGGAUGCAGCGCAGAUCUCUUCGACUUUAUAGCCCUUGAGGAUUGACUGUCCGAAAAAACAAAAGGAAACAUGUAGAGAUUUAUGAGAAUACAUACAUUAAAUAUAAGAGAAACCCUUCACAGCCAAAGAUGAUAGACAACAUGCAAUCUGAAACACAAAUAGACAGAGAAGGGUUUAGAUCCAAAGAAGACGAGACAGAGAAGGGUUUAUUAAAUAUUCUUUAGAACUUUUAUAAACUUUCCAUUUCAAUCCAUCAAUAAAUCUUUUUAAAAAAAACCCACGAAAAAUCUUAAAAUUAAAACAUUAUUUCUUUUCCAAACAAUAAUAAAAUUUAAAAAAUUAUAAAAAAUCUUACUUUAUAAAAUUAAAUUUAAAAAAAAAAUCUAAUUUUACUCUAUUUUCUCCCAAAUAAAAUAUGGACAGGAAGGGAUGGGGAACUUUCCCAUAAUGUAUGUAGUUUCAUUCCUGGUGGAUGUUAAUAAAAAAUUAUACAUAAAAAGUUCCCUAAUGUUAAAUUUUUUAAUAUCUAGAACAAAAAAUAACUUUAAGUUUGAUUAAAAAAUUAUUUAUUUAUUAAUAUUUUAAAAAUAUUUUAAAUAUAUAAAAUAUGAAAAGAAUAUAAAGAAUAUUUUCCAUGACUGAAAUUAUUAAAUUAAAAUGUGUCUUUACACUGGUAAUUUAAUUUGACUAUAAUUUGGUUUGGAUCAUGAACCAAAUUAUAACCAGUUGGAUUAUAUUAUAUUUAAAAUAGGUAUAAUCGAAAAAUUAAUAAAAAGUUUAUAUUUUUCAAUGUGAAAAAAUAAAAUAAAUAAAAAUUGUUAAAUGAAAAGAGUAUUAAUUAAUUAUUAUUAUUAUUAUAAAUUCAAAUAUUUAAUAAAAUAUAAUUUUAGUUUAUAUGUUUUUUUUAAAGUAAAUUUUAGUUUAUAUGUUUAAUGAGUUAAUAUGAAAUAAUAUAAAAAUGUGAAUAUUUAUUAGGAUCUUAAAAAUCGGGUCCUAAAAAAUAGAAUACCAAGUCAUGUGAUUGUAAUAUUUAACAAUAUAAUUUAUUAAAUAAAUUAUGAAAUUGCAUAAGCUGAUAUAAAUUAAUUCAUUUUAGAUGAAUAUUUUCUUCUAAAUUUUAAAUACUUAGAAAUUCAAAUUCGAAAUCAUUAAGUGAGAAAGAGUUUGUAGAACUUCUGGGUAACUAAUUAUAGACAUUUUUUAUUUUUUUAUUAAAUACAAAUUCACUCAUUAUUAAAAAAGGGAAUGCACAAUUAUAUUUAUUAAAGGUCAUAGCACAUAUUUAUGCUUACACAAAUCCAGCUUUGCCUUCUCAAAGGCAAUUAGAUUAACAAGGGAAUGAAAAUCUUCUCUGCCCACAGCCUCUCCUACUUGCAGCUUUCAAGAGGAGCGCCGCACAAGCAACGAUUAUGGAAAUACGUGUAGGAAUCAAAGCUCUGCAACUUACCACCCACAGGAAUCUGCCCACAAAGCCUGUUGUAACUCACAUUCAAGAGCUGCAUAGUCAGUUGAGUCAUCUGCUGGGGAAUGUUACCGUAGAUUUUGUUGUGAUUAAGGUCUAACGAUGUCAGGCUGCUCGGAAACACCACCUUUGACAAAUCAAAUGUCAACAGAUUCCUGGACAGAUCUACGAUUUGGGUAGUUUUAUUUGGCCCAAACAGGACAGAAGCAUCGCCUUCAAGCCUGUUGCGAGAGAAAUCGAGGACGUUGAAGUCCGUUUUGCCUAGAGAUGCAGGGAUUUUGCCUGAAAGUUGGUUAUGAGACAAGUAAAGAUAAGGUACUUUGCCUUGAAACGCACCGAAUGAUUCUGGGAUGGAGCCCGUGAGCUUGUUCCUGUCCAAGUGAAGUGUCCCGAGAUUUGGCAAUAGAGCGAGUGAACUCGGUAUUGAUCCAGACAGGCUGUUAAAAGCCAGGUCCAACAACGUGAGACUCUUGAGUUGGCUAAGGAAGUCAGGUACUGAACCAGUGAGGCUUAGCCAACUAAGCCUGAGAAAGUUGAGGCUUUUGAGCUUGGCAAUGGCGGGUUGUAUGGGGCCUGUAACGUUUGUUAGCUUGUGGAACUCAAGGGUCUGGAGAUAAGGCAAAUCACCAACAGCAGGGGGGAUUUCGCCGGAAAGUUCACCGGCGAAAAUGGUGAGGGAAAUGAUGCGGUGGGUGGUGGAAUCACACUCGACCUGAUACCAUUGUGUGCAGCAAUCGGU
rnacentral:lncRNA from 1 species